rnacentral:rRNA from 1 species
CGGGGUGGAGUAAUGUCUGGGAAACGUGCCUGAUGGAGGGGGAUAACUGCUGGAAACGGUAGCUAAUACCGCAUAACGUCGCAAGACCAAAGAGGGGGACCUUCGGGCCUCUUGCCAUCGGAUGUGCCCAGAUGGGAUUAGCUAGUAGGUGGGGUAACGGCUCACCUAGGCGACGAUCCCUAGCUGGUCUGAGAGGAUGGCCAGCCACACUGGAACUGAGACACGGUCCAG